rnacentral:rRNA from 1 species
UACGAAGGGGGCUAGCGUUGCUCGGAAUUACUGGGCGUAAAGGGCGCGUAGGCGGAUAGUUUAGUAAGAGGUGAAAGCCCAGGGCUCAACCCUGGAAUUGCCUUUGAUACUGGCUAUCUUGAGUGUGGGAGAGGUUAGCGGAACUCCGAGUGUAGAGGUGAAAUUCGUAGAUAUUCGGAAGAACACCAGUGGCGAAGGCGGCUAACUGGCCCAUUACUGACGCUGAGGCUCGAAAGCGUGGGGAGCAAACAGG